rnacentral:lncRNA from 1 species
AGCUGAUCAUGCCCAGCUGCAGCGGUCCUGGUUUCCAAGGAGACAAUGUGCUGCUGUCCUGCAGCUGGCACUGCACCUGUCUUAGCGCUCUAGAUGUGAGCUGGACAGGAGCCACAGAUGUGGGCAUCAUUGCAAUGGUCACUGCUUGCAUCAGGUUGGAGACCGUGGUAGUCAACGGAUGCCAAAUGACCGACGAGGCCUUGAAAUUGCUCAUCAAAGCACAUGGGAGAAGGUACACUGUAUUGUCAUAAGACCCUAUUUAUUAGUGGAAUGGUCUGUGUCACUGGCAUCUUUCUUCUUAACACCAUACUGACCAUGUUGCCACAACCACUUGACUUGAGCCAUUUCUUUAGACUCCAUAUCCUUCUUUCUGUUAACAUAAAGAGUUUUAUUAUUUGACCUUAAUUAUUUAUUAUUUGAGGUAAACAAAUGAGAAUCAAAAUAGUGCAGUACUGCACGUAACACUAGUGUAAGAAACUCUGGAAGAGACCAGUAGUUAUACUGUAUUUACACUGAUAAACAUGAAAGAGGCCUGCAUAGAUGGCCUCCUUCUUUGGUAGGGGUUUGUCUGCCCUUACUAUUUUGCUGGAGGCUUGGAAAUUUUAACAUUGGACUUAAUGUCGUUGGCUGUUCUCACUACUGUGAUAGUGGCUAAAGGAGGACCCCACACCUAACGACAUAAAACUGUAAUAGCUGUAGUCUCUGCAGGUCCUUGAAUAGCUGUGACCGAUCUCCUAGUCUUCGCAGGUUGGAGGUGUUUGGUUGCCUGUCUCUCAGCUCUGACUGUAUGAGUGCUAUGACAGAGGCCUCCCCUAACAUGGAAGUUCUGAACAUUGGAAAGAUCCCAAAAUUAUCCAACCAGUGUUUGAUUCAGAUGAUGUCCAGCUUUAAACGACUGACUUCACUCAACCUGGCUGGUCUUUUUGCGGUACGGGAUCAAACUGUUCAUCACAUAGUUAAGCAGUGUCCUAAGCUCCUGAGUCUCACACUCAGCUUCUGCCCUCACAUCACUGAUGUCAGUCUGAUUGAAAUCAGCACCUACUCCCCUUCCAUCAGGUGAGAGACGGUUGUGAUUAACCCUCAUCCCUGUUUCCAUCAGUUGGAUACAACUGCGCCUACAUCAGUGCUUUCUUUUCCUUCACUGGGUGAGUGAGGGGUUUAGCUAGUUAACCAGCAGCUCUUCUUUCAGAUGAGACAGCUCAUAAUAAUAUGGCCACUUGGAUGCCACCCUAGCGUCUUUGUUGCAGGAACCUGGAUGUGAGUGGCUGCAGGGCCAUAACAGAUAGAGGUGUCCAAGCAAUUGCCAUGUCCUGCAUCUGCCUCCAGGAACUGGAUCUGAGUCUGACGUCCACAGGAAA